UCCUUAUUCCACAUUUAUUUCCAGCUGUGGUUUACUUAAACUGGCCUUUAAAGUUAAGCAAGGAAGAUAUUUAAUAUGACCAUCCAUGUCUCAACAUUUACAACAGGAGAAAAAUUAUGAAUUCCUACAAAAGAACUGUUGUAACAGGGUUUCACUGCAAGUCCCUCCGGCUCAGCGGGAAGCAACAGCGGGACGAGCGGAACAAGGCUCGACGGAACAGCAGGCAGGACCACUCACUUCUCGUCUGAGGACAUGUUGUCCUUGGCGCUGCCCGUGGAGCCACUGCUGAGCUUGUCGUAGCGAGAGAGCAUGCGGUCCGCCGGGACAGACACACUCCGGCUGAACUCCUGCUGAGGCGCCAAUCGCGAGCUCUUCUUCUUCCUGGCCGUCGCCCAUCAAGCAACACUGUCAGUGUGUGUGUGUGUGUGUGUGGGUGUGUGCAGGUGUGUAACCAGAAGAUAGCAUCUCAUCCUUCUACAGCAAGAUACUCCACAGAUGUUUAAUAAGUAGAUACCCACUUUAAAGGUAAAUAAAAUUUGCCGAUUUUGUCAUAAAAAGUCUUGAUUUCAUAACAACAAAAAAAAGAUGUUAAACAUUUUUAAAUAAAUAGAUAAAAAUAAUUCAGGCAUAGUCACAAAAGAAUUUGUUUGAAAGUGUAACUAGCAAUUUAUCAUUUGAUAAUACAUAUGAAUGAAACACA